GGAUAACCUGCCCUUAGGUCUGGCAUAACCCCGGGAAACUGGGGAUAAUUCCGGAUAGAUCAUAGAUGCUGGAAUGCGCUUUGAUCCAAAGCUAUUGUGCCUAAGGAUGGGUCUGCGGUCUAUCAGGUUGUAGUGGGUGUAAUGUACCUACUAGCCUACGACGGAUACGGGUUGUGGGAGCAAGAGCCCGGAGAUGGAUUCUGAGACAUGAAUCCAGGCCCUACGGGGCGCAGCAGGCGCGAAAACUUUACAAUGCGGGAAACCGCGAUAAGGGGACACCGAGUGCCAGCAUCCUAUGUUGGCUGUCCAUAUGUCUAAAUCACAUGUGUUAGCAAGGGCCGGGCAAGACCGGUGCCAGCCGCCGCGGUAACACCGGCGGCCCGAGUGGUGGCCACUAUUAUUGGGUCUAAAGGGUCCGUAGCCGGUUUGGUCAGUCUUCCGGGAAAUCUGACGGCUCAACCGUUAGGCUUUCGGGGGAUACUACCAGGCUUGGGACCGGGAGAGGUAAGAGGUACUACGGGGGUAGGAGUGAAAUCUUGUAAUCCCUGUGGGACCACCAGUGGCGAAGGCGUCUUACCAGAACGGGUCCGACGGUGAGGGACGAAAGCUGGGGGCACGAACCGGAUUAGAUACCCGGGUAGUCCCAGCUGUAAACUAUGCUCGCUAGGUGUCAGGGACGGUGCGACCGUUUCUGGUGCCGCAGGGAAGCCGUGAAGCGAGCCACCUGGGAAGUACGGUCGCAAGGCUGAAACUUAAAGGAAUUGGCGGGGGAGCACUACAACGGGUGGAGCCUGCGGUUUAAUUGGACUCAACGCCGGAAAACUCACCGGGGGCGACAGCAAUAUGUAGGUCAAGCUAAAGACUUUACCAGAAUCGCUGAGAGGAGGUGCAUGGCCGUCGUCAGUUCGUACUGUGAAGCAUCCUGUUAAGUCAGGCAACGAGCGAGACCCGUGCCCACUGUUGCCAGCAUGUCCUUCGGGACGAUGGGUACUCUGUGGGGACCGCCGAUGCUAAAU
rnacentral:rRNA from 1 species